GUACUGCUGAGAAGUCCUAAAAUAGCACGAAACGGCCGUCCAGUAC
rnacentral:hammerhead_ribozyme from 1 species